rnacentral:rRNA from 1 species
UCAGGAUGAACGCGGGCGGCGUGCCUAUACAUGCAAGUCGAGCGAACGGACGAGAAGCUUGCUUCUCUGAUGUUAGCGGCGGACGGGUGAGUAACACGUGGAUAACCUACCUAUAAGACUGGGAUAACUUCGGGAAGGAGCUAAUACCGGAUAAUAUUUUGAACCGCAUGGUUCAAAAGUGAAAGACGGUCUUGCUGUCACUUUAGAUGGACCGCGCUGCAUUAGCUAGUUGGUAAGGUAACGGCUUACCAAGGCAACGAUGCAUAGCCGACUGGAGGGUGAUCGGCCACACUGGAACUGAGACACGGUCCAGACUCCUACGGGAGGCAGCAGUAGGGAACUUCGCAAUGGGCGAAAGCCUGACGGAGCAACGCCGCGUGAGUGAUGAAGGUCUUCGGAUCUAAAACUCGUUAUUAGGGAAGAACAUAUGUGUAAGUAACUGUGCACAUCUUGACGGUACCUAAUCAGAAAGCACGCUAACUACGUGCCAGCAGCCGCGGUAAUACGUAGGUGGCAAGCGUUAUCCGGAAUUAUUGGGCUAAAGCGCGCGUAGGCGGUUUUUUAAGUCUGAUGUGAAAGCCCACGCUCAACCGUGGAGGGUCAUUGGAACUGGAAAACUUGAGUGCAGAAGAGGAAGUGGAAUUCCAUGUGUAGCGGUGAAAUGCGCAGAGAUUGGAGGAACACCAGUGGCGAAGGCGACUUCUGGUCUGUAACUGACGCUGAUGUGCGAAAGCGUGGGGAUCAAACAGAUUAGAUACCCUGGUAGUCCACGCCGUAAACGAUGAGUGCUAAGUGUUAGGGGGUUUCCGCCCCUUAGCUGCAGCUAACGCAUUAACACUCCGCCUGGGGAGUACGACCGCAAGGUUGAAACUCAAAGGAAUUGCGGGGACCCGCACAAGCGGUGGAGCAUGUGGUUAAUUCGAAGCAACGCGAAGAACUUACCAAAUCUUGACAUCCUUUGACAACUCUAGAGAUAGAGCCUUCCCCUUCGGGGGACAAAGUGACAUGGUGCAUGGUUGUUCAGCUCGUGUCGUGAGAUGUUGGGUUAAGUCCCGCAACGAGCGCAACCCUUAAGCUUAGUUGCCAUCUAAGUUGGGCACUCUAAGUUGACUGCCGGUGACAAACCGGAGGAAGGUGGGGAUGACGUCAAAUCAUCAUGCCCCUUAUGAUUUGCUAC